GCAGGUUACUCCUUUCCCUGCUUACAUACUGUGCUCCUGAGAAGGAAGCCACCGGGUAAGGUGCACACUGGAGUGGAAUGUUAUGUUCCACCUCCUUGAGCUUUAGACCAGGGGUCCCCCACCCCUGAGUCACAGACCAGUACUGGUCCGUGGUCUGUGAGGAACUGGGCGGCACAGCAGGAGGUGAAUGGCAGGCCAGAAGAGGAAUGUCCUACGUGAACGUGAUUUAACAGCUCCAUCGCCUGGGGCCACGUGGAAUUCUUGAAGCAGCUGUGUCAGACAUCCGAGUCAAGUUGGGGCAUGAGUGACCUCUCAACAUCUAAUGGAGCAUUUACUCCUUUGGACCAGAGGAGAAGAUAUGGAUGAACUCCUUGGACCCACCCUGUUCCCAGCUCAUCUGGGAGAAUGAAGCUAAUUGGUAAAUCCACUGUUUGAUGCUUGUAAUGAAGACUCAAGGAGUUCUGUCUCUACCAAGUUCCUUGCCCUUAAUGACUCAAGAAUUAAUUUUAUCUUUUCCUCUCAAAACCUUGAAAGAAAUGCUUGAGUCCUUGUAACCUGUAAAAUAAAUGUUGUUACUGAAGGGAAAAGCAA
rnacentral:lncRNA from 10 species